rnacentral:lncRNA from 1 species
GGUGGAGAGCUGGCCGAGGCUUUCAUUCGGGCAGCAAUCCCGGACGACUGGGAGUGGAUUUGUCGCAUGUGUAGAUCCGACCGUACUGCUGGAUGAUCCGAUGUCGGACGUCUCAUGAAUGCCUAGCGAUCCGGACGUCCAGUCGAUUUCAGAAGUCACGUCGGCAUCAGGUGUCAGACGCCACGUCUUGUCGCCGUCAGUCGUUACGUCGGUGUCAGAAGAUCGGACGCCGGACGAUUCGGCGUCAGUCGAUCGGAUAUUCGGCGCCGAUCGCGGGAGAGAGGGCCGCUGUCAGGCGUCCCAUCGGG